AAGCCCAAGUGAACGACACCAAAAUGCAAAUUUGGAGACGCACCCUAACAGGUGCCGGGGCUUC
rnacentral:tRNA from 1 species